rnacentral:lncRNA from 1 species
CAUAUCAGUCCCUAAACAAAGCCCAACCAUCACAAACAACAAAUCAGAAGCAUCAAGAAGCCAGAAAUCAAAAAUCAAGCUUGAAAAGGUAGGAAAUCCUAAAUUCUAGAAAUCCUUCGAUUCGAUGUUAAUUGAUGCAAUUGAUUGUUUAAAGUAGUGUAAUAGAGAGUCUAUUAAUGUUCUGGGUUGUAAAAUCAUGAACCCAUAACAUCAAAGUGCACGAAUUUGAAGAUUUAAACAAGUUGGAAAAACCGAAUUCUGUUAUUUUUCACCAAAUGUCAGAGGCUAUAACUCUUUGGUCGAUCUCGAGUUUUGUUGUUUAAAAGUUGUUAUAGGUAGCCUGAUAUGUGGUCUUUAAUCUCCAAAAGGAAUAAAGUUCAUAUCUAUUGUAGAUCGGGAUUUAUAAGCGGUCAAAGUGGGUUGACCGGCAUUGACCGGCUGUUCUUCAAACCCAGAAAAUAUUCUAAGUGUCCAGAAAAUAUUUUUUUGGCAAAUGUCAGGCCUUAUAUCUCGGUUAUCUUUAAUGUGUUUUGUGUUCUAAAGGUUGUUAUGUGUAGCGUGUUAUGUGGUAUUUAACCUCCAAAAAGAAUCAGGUCCAUAUAUAUUAUGGAUUAAGAGUUAUUUAAGGUCAAAGUGGGUUGACCGGCAUUAACCGGAAAAUUCUG